UACGAAGGGGGCUAGCGUUGCUCGGAAUCACUGGGCGUAAAGGGCGCGUAGGCGGAUCUUUAAGUCGGGGGUGAAAGCCCAGGGCUCAACCCUGGAAUUGCCUUCGAUACUGGAGAUCUUGAGACCGGAAGAGGUAAGUGGAACUGCGAGUGUAGAGGUGAAAUUCGUAGAUAUUCGCAAGAACACCAGUGGCGAAGGCGGCUUACUGGACACAUAUUGACGCUGAGGUGCGAAAGCGUGGGGAGCAAACAGG
rnacentral:rRNA from 1 species